UUGACAUAAACUGUCACCCAUGCCCCAUAUUCUAUCCACAUUUCACCUUGGUGCCCAUGUGUGGCCCUUGUUACCCAGUGGUAGCAUUCCAUUAUCCUUCUAUCAGCUCUGUCCACUCUGGGAGCUUGUAUUCAGCUUCUCAUUUUAUAUACAGGCAAGCAUCUUAACAUUAUUCAGUGUUUUCUAGUGACAAGGCCACACAUUCCUUCAUACAAUAUAAUAGAAGGAAGGGGCAAGGUGAAGGACAGAUCCCAGGGCCUGCUUGCCAUCUCUCAUUCUUGUUUCUUUUCCAGGUAUUGGCCACCCUGGAGAAUCAGUGUGCAGACACCUGACAGCCAACUGGAGUGAUCUAUUCCUGAGACUGAUAAAUUUUCUCCGGUGCCAGAGACAGCAGGCUUGUUCAACUCAAGCUGAUAUUGAUCUUUUUCCUGAGGAUCUACAAAUUUCUGACCUGGAACUUCUCAGAGUUUCCACAUUUAAUUCUGUGCCCCAGCUGACUGCAAGCUGUAUUCCACUGCAAAGGGGAGGCUGAUCUGCAUACCUGUCAAGCCACUAACAAAGCAUGGAGUUUCCAAGACCCAGCUCCUGCCUUCUUGCCCCAGUUCCAGCUGCUGCUCAGUUCAGGAGGGAAGCCUAAAGUAAUUCUGUGAAGUUAAUUUCCAAGUAGCUCUAAGUGUCCUUAAAUUGGUGUAUGGAGAAAUCCAUUGCUCACCGUCGUUAGAAAGCACUUGGAUGAAACACACCACAGCUACUUGAAAGGGAUGUGAAGUAACCUGAGUCCUGCACAAUAGGCUUUUACCCUGACCACACUCAACUGCUUCUUGCAACAUGGUUUAUAGAGAAGAACAAUUCAACACACAAAAAAAAUAAAUUAAACAUGCAACCAUUUUGUGAAGUAUUAGCAGUCAACCAUGAUCUGAGAAUAUUAAAUGGAAACUUCUGAAAAAUUCAAGAUGUUUUAAAUUGUCUUCCAUUAUGAGCAACACGAUGAAAUCUCACCCUAUCCUGCUCUGUCUCACCUGGCAUGUGAAUUAUCCUUUUGUUCAGUGUAUCCACCCUGAAUACACUAUAUACCCAAUAGCCAGAUCAACUGAUUUUAUGGUAUCUCCAUGCUUGUAUUCAAGUGACCCUUAUUUUACUUAAUAAUGGCCCCAUAUUUCAAGAGUAAAUAUAAUGGUAAUUUUAUUAGUGU